rnacentral:lncRNA from 1 species
UAACGCACCUGGGGCCUUCCUAAGUUCCCUCACUGCGUUUGUAUCCAGACCUCCAUGAAAACCAGUAUCUAGUUUAUUUCAUCAUAGAGAAGGAGAUAGUGAACACCUCCAUGUCCAUGCUGUUCUCCAUCAAUCCGGAGAACGGUAAUCUUUACGCACUAAAGACGUUUGACUAUGAGAUAGAGAAGGAGUUCCUUUUCCACAUUGAGGCCAGAGACUCUGGUGUUCCUCCGCUCAGCAGUAACGUGACUAUCCACAUCAUUAUUGUGGACCAGAACGACAACACCCCGAUCAUAGUGUCUCCGUGGCGCGCGCACGGCUCCGUGGUGGGAGAAGAUCCCCAGAUCCACCGAUAAGGAUCCCUGUUUCCAAGGUGAUAGCCAUAGACACGGACUCUGUCCAGAACUCUCGGAUUACAUACCAGUUUCUACAGGUUAUGACGCCACCUUAUUCAGUCUGGACCAAUACAACGGAGAAAUCCGGACUAUGAGAAUGUUCAGUUACAGAGAUCCGCGUCAUAAACGGCUGGUUGUCAUCGCCAAGGACAACGGGGAUCCUGCUCUCUCUGCUACAGUUACCAUAAAGCUCUCCACAGUGGAGACUGCCGUUAAAGCCUACUCUGACAUGACUGAAGUGCCUCUAGAAUAUGACAUCUUUUCCGAUUUAAACCUGUAUUUGGUGAUCGGCUGGGCUCAGUGUCCUUUUUGUUAUUGAUCACCAUAUUGGUCACCUGUGUGCUGAGGAGUGUCAGAAACCAAUGCCAAGUAAAGCGGCCCCUCCCAGUAGGAACAGCGUGAUCAGCGAGAGGAAUUCGACUAUCGCAGAUUCCACCCUGGUCUCCAACGAUGCCUAUUGGUACAGUCUGUUUCUAGCGGAGACGAGGAAAGGAAAGCUGGUAGUCAGACAGCCUGUGCCAAAGGCAGGUUCCAGAUACAUCGUGUCCAGUCUACCAAGGAGCACGGGAUUGACAGAGACCAGUGACUCAGCAGCCUCUACUCUGCAGUCUGUUUCUAGCGGAGACGAGGAAAGGAAAGCUGGUAGUCAGACAGCCUGUGCCAAAGGCGGGUUCCAGAUACAUCGUGUCCAGUCUACCAAGGAGCACUGGCCUGACAGAGACCAGCGACUCAGCAGCCUCUACACUGCAGGUAAGAAUAACCCUCUUAAUUUCAAAUCUGCAAAAUGUUGUUUUAACUGUAGCCUACUGACCGUGUUUGAGUCUUUAUGCGUUCGCCUCGCGCGUAAAUGUUCAUCUAUCAGUGCGUACUUUAAUAUGCAAUGGAAGACACUCAAUGUCAAAACAUGACACUCAAUCAACAACAGAUAAGGUCUACAACAACUUUUAACAUAUAAAUAUAUUGGGUGAAACCACUUCACCGUUCUAAUAAUGACUGGACAGCGCGUAAUCUACUAGAGCUGGUUAGAGCUGGGUAAAUAACACAUGGGCUACCCUAUACGUUUUCAUUAUUUACGUCGAUUAAAACCUUGCAGCUAAUGGUGCUACAACCGUUUGGAUGCUUGUGUCUGGUUUUAGUUAUAUUUUUCAAGUAUAGUCCACCUAAAUGCAAAGAGAAAUGUCUCCAAGCUUGUUACAUGCACAAAGCGUCGCUGUUGACCAGCUAGCAAAACAGACUCGUUUGUGAUGCAAUGGUCGCCGUAACAGUA